GAUGAAGAACGCAGCGAAAUGCGAUAAGUAAUGCGAAUUGCAGAAUCCGUGAGUCAUCGAAUCUUUGAACGCACAUUGCGCCCCCUGGCAUUCCGGGGGGCAUGCCUGUCCGAGCGUCAUUUCUGCCCUCCAGCCCGGCUGGGUGUUGGGCGCUGUCCCCCCGGGGACACGCCCCAAAGGCAGUGGCGGCGCCGCGUCGGGUCCUCGAGCGUAUGGGGCUUUGUCACCCGCUCGGGACGGACUCGUCGGCGCUGGUCUUCCUCCAGGCGACCCUUCGGGGCUCGUCUUCCUUCGGUUGACCUCGGAUCAGGUAGGGUUACCCGCUGAACUUAAGCAUAUCAAUAAGCGGAGGA
rnacentral:misc_RNA from 1 species